ACGGAGGGUGCAAGCGUUAUCCGGAUUCACUGGGUUUAAAGGGUGCGUAGGCGGGCAUGUAAGUCCGUGGUGAAAUCUCCGAGCUUAACUCGGAAACUGCCAUGGAUACUAUGUGUCUUGAAUGUUGUGGAGGUGAGCGGAAUAUGUCAUGUAGCGGUGAAAUGCUUAGAUAUGACAUAGAACACCAAUUGCGAAGGCAGCUCACUACACAAAUAUUGACGCUGAGGCACGAAAGCGUGGGGAUCAAACAGGAUUAGAUACCCUGGUAGUCCACGCCCUAAACGAUGAUUACUCGACAUACGUGAUACACAAUGUGUGUCUGAGCGAAAGCAUUAAGUAAUCCACCUGGGAAGUACGACCGCAAGGUUG
rnacentral:rRNA from 1 species